UCGGGAAUUUUGGGCAAUGGGCGAAAGCCUGACCCAGCAACGCCGCGUGAAGGAUGAAGUAUUUCGGUAUGUAAACUUCGUAAGAAUAGGAAGAAUAAAUGACGGUACUAUUUGUAAGGUCCGGCUAACUACGUGCCAGCAGCCGCGGUAAUACGUAGGGACCAAGCGUUGUUCGGAUUUACUGGGCGUAAAGGGCGCGUAGGCGGCGUGGUAAGUCAUCUGUGAAAUCUCCGAGCUUAACUCGGAACGGUCAGAUGAUACUGCUGUGCUAGAGUACAGAAAGGGCAAUCGGAAUUCUUGGUGUAGCGGUGAAAUGCGUAGAUAUCAAGAGGAACACCUGAGGCGAAGGCGGGUUGCUAGGCUGAUACUGACGCUGAGGCACGAAAGUGCGGGGAUCAAACAGGAUUAGAUACCCCCGUAGUCCCUGAGCGGGCUGGCAAGGCGCAU
rnacentral:rRNA from 1 species